UACGUAGGGUGCAAGCGUUGUCCGGAAUUAUUGGGCGUAAAGAGCUCGUAGGCGGUUUGUCGCGUCGGCUGUGAAAACCCGCGGCUCAACUGUGGGCGGGCAGCUGAUACGGGCAGGCUGGAGUUCGGUAGGGGAGACUGGAAUUCCUGGUGUAGCGGUGAAAUGCGCAGAUAUCAGGAGGAACACCGGUGGCGAAGGCGGGUCUCUGGGCCGAUACUGACGCUGAGGAGCGAAAGCGUGGGGAGCGAACAGG
rnacentral:rRNA from 1 species